GACGAACGCUGGCGGCGUGCUUAACACAUGCAAGUCGAACGGAAAGGCCCUGCUUUUGUGGGGUGCUCGAGUGGCGAACGGGUGAGUAACACGUGAGUAACCUGCUCUUGACUUUGGGAUAACUUCAGGAAACUGGGGCUAAUACCGGAUAGGAGCUCCUGCUGCAUGGUGGGGGUUGGAAAGUUUCGGCGGUUGGGGAUGGACUCGCGGCUUAUCAGCUUGUUGGUGGGGUAGUGGCUUACCAAGGCUUUGACGGGUAGCCGGCCUGAGAGGGUGACCGGCCACAUUGGGACUGAGAUACGGCCCAGACUGCUACGGGAGGCAGCAGGGGGAAAUAUUGCACAAUGGGCGGAAGCCUGAUGCAGCAACGCCGCGUGCGGGAUGACGGCCUUCGGGUUGUAAACCGCUUUCGCCUGUGACGAAGCGUGAGUGACGGUAAUGGGUAAAGAAGCACCGGCUAACUACGUG
rnacentral:rRNA from 1 species